rnacentral:rRNA from 1 species
AUUGAACGCUGGCGGCAGGCCUAACACAUGCAAGUCGAGCGGAUGAUGGGAGCUUGCUCCCGGAUUCAGCGGCGGACGGGUGAGUAAUGCCUAGGAAUCUGCCUGGUAGUGGGGGACAACGUUUCGAAAGGAACGCUAAUACCGCAUACGUCCUACGGGAGAAAGCAGGGGACCUUCGGGCCUCGCGCUAUCAGAUGAGCCUAGGUCGGAUUAGCUAGUUGGUGGGGUAAAGGCCUACCAAGGCGACGAUCCGUAACUGGUCUGAGAGGAUGAUCAGUCACACUGGAACUGAGACACGGUCCAGACUCCUACGGGAGGCAGCAGUGGGGAAUAUUGGACAAUGGGCGAAAGCCUGAUCCAGCCAUGCCGCGUGUGUGAAGAAGGUCUUCGGAUUGUAAAGCACUUUAAGUUGGGAGGAAGGGCAGUAAGUUAAUACCUUGCUGUUUUGACGUUACCAACAGAAUAAGCACCGGCUAACUUCGUGCCAGCCGCCGCCGUAACAC